rnacentral:rRNA from 1 species
CCUACGGGAGGCAGCAGUGGGGGAUAUUGCACAAUGGGGGGAACCCUGAUGCAGCGACGCCGCGUGGGUGAAGAAGCGCCUCGGCGCGUAAAGCCCUGUCAGCAGGGAAGAAAAUGACGGUACCUGAAGAAGAAGCCCCGGCUAACUACGUGCCAGCAGCCGCGGUAAUACGUAGGGGGCAAGCGUUAUCCGGAUUUACUGGGUGUAAAGGGGGCGCAGACGGCGAUGCAAGCCAGGAGUGAAAGCCCGGGGCCCAACCCCGGGACUGCUCUUGGAACUGCGUGGCUGGAGUGCAGGAGGGGCAGGCGGAAUUCCUGGUGUAGCGGUGAAAUGCGUAGAUAUCAGGAGGAACACCGGUGGCGAAGGCGGCCUGCUGGACUGCAACUGACGUUGAGGCCCGAAAGCGUGGGGAGCAAACAGGAUUAGAUACCCCAGUAG